rnacentral:rRNA from 1 species
AUGAGCCGUUGGGAUACGUACGUACGUAGGUGCAUCUAUAAAAGGGAGGGUGGUGAGCCCCUUAGAAGACACCACCCAAAGCACACGAGAUCAACCAACGCUAGUUCUCUCUUCUUUAUACGCGCGCCAACGGUAAUGGCCGCAGCUGCAGGCUUGGUAUGGGCGACCUUGCUCAUGUGCGUUGCGCUCGGCGCCGCGCAAACUGAACUUACGAGCUUCCAGAGACUACUCCUUGCCAACUUCUUUCCUCAAGGUUCCGUGCCAUCGCCGGUGAGGAUAUACUGCAGGCAGGACGCCGCGCUGAACGUGGCCAUAGUCGGCGGCAAGGUUGUCCUCGCAAACGCCAAGUGCAGUGACUGGUCACAGAAAUGGUACGUUGUGUACACCGACUCCACCUUGUUCAACGGAAAGUUUGAGCUUAAGCCCUUCUCCCUGGUGAAUGCACAGACGCUUCAGGUCAUCACGGUCACGAUCCCAUCAGGCAGUUCACAGAAGGUGGAACUGUACAGCCCGCCUAGCUCCCCGUGGGAGCUGCAGAGGUUGCAGAACUGGCUGCAAAAUGCACGCGAGGAGCUGUGGACGCCGGAGCAACCCAAGUCGCCGGAGCCCACACGUACCGAAGGCUUUUACAGACUGUUUGCUACCAAAAACAAUGAGAAGACAGCUUUUCACCUCAACGGCCUCGGGGGCGGCGUAAAAGUCGGAACGGAGGUCGGGAUCUAUUCUGGAGCAUCAAAUACAGAGAACGCCCUAUGGCAGCUGACUUCAGACACCGCCCUCUGUGCCCCCUGA